rnacentral:rRNA from 1 species
AACGAACGCUGGCGGCAUGCCUAACACAUGCAAGUCGAACGAGACCUUCGGGUCUAGUGGCGCACGGGUGCGUAACGCGUGGGAACCUGCCCUUAGGUUCGGAAUAACUCCCCGAAAGGGGUGCUAAUACCGGGUAAUGUCUUCGGACCAAAGAUUUAUCGCCUUUGGAUGGGCCCGCGUUGGGGUAGCUAGUUGGUAGGGUAAAAGCCUACCAAGGCGACGAUCCAUAGCUGGUCUGAGAGGAUGAUCAGCCACACUGGGACUGAGACACGGCCCAGACUCCUACGGGAGGCAGCAGUGGGGAAUAUUGGACAAUGGGCGAAAGCCUGAUCCAGCAAUGCCGCGUGAGUGAUGAAGGCCUUAGGGUUGUAAAGCUCUUUUACCCGGGAUGAUAAUGACAGUACCGGGAGAAUAAGCUCCGGCUAACUCCGUG